rnacentral:tRNA from 1 species
AGCCUUAAGGUGAUGUUCAUGUCGAAUUGCAAAUUCGAAGGUGUAGAUAAAUAAUUCUACUAAGGCU